AAUAAAUCUUAAAAAAAAAAAAAAAGAAACGUGAGGUGAAGCUGACUGACAGUUCCACUACCCAGGAACAGGGGUGCUUCUGCCCAUGGCUUGUCCACGGCGGAUGAAGACCCAGGUUUCAUGAGAAGAGUGAGUACCCUCUCCGCCCAGACUUGGGGAGGGACUGUCACCUGCCUCUCUGCACCCAGGCUUCAGGGGAACUGUCACCUGUUCUACCCUGUUGUCACUGGCUACUGCCCAGGUCCACACCACACCAGGCCCUGAUAUGGGUGCCCCUCACUUAAGCUGACCUCUGUUCUGAGCAGACCCUCUCACUUCUCGUGGAGGUAGGUGAGUGUCCCAACUCCUGACUCCGGGGAGAAGAGAUACACAGCUUCCUGCAGUAGCCACGCACUGUCCUGGGAUAUCCAUGUGGUGCAGCCACAAGCACUUGGGCCCCCAGACAUAACUCCAGUCCCCCCCUUUGACAGACAAACAACCUUUCUCCGGCCCCAUGUCCCCACUCUUCUCGAUAUUCUGCUCCCCAGGUGACUCCAGCACCAUGUUUAAGCCCUGGCUGUGAUGAUCCUGCCUGGGCUCUCUGUCCCCAGUCUGCCAUGUAACUCAUUUCUCACACCCCACCCCCACCCCAGCAUAAGACUGGUUCAGACCUCUGUUGGGACGCUAAGGUGGUUGCCCUGAGCUUCCAAGGGCUUUGUCUGUCCUGUGGGGUACGUCCUGUGGGGUACAAGUCAAGCUCUGGCAGAGGACACAGACUGGGUUUCAUCCUCCAACUGUCUGGUGCCCUCAGCUCUGCCGGGGUGCCAGAGGGCAACUUCCUCCCCCAUCCUCUAACCUUCUGCACCCUGAGGCUACCCAUUCUUCAGAUAGCCCUAGAGGCUCUCUCACCACUUCUUGUGUCCCCAGGGCUCACUGUUCCCUUCCCAUCAUGCUACAUGGACUGUUGCAGGUAACACCUGGGGAUGUCCUGAACAGUUUUGCGCCUGCUGCCGGGAAUCUCUCCUUGGUUUGCUCAGUUCACCUCGGGGCAGCCACUUCACCUGUGUCCAGCCUGUCUGCAGACGUGGUCCUAUCAGGCAGAACCGUAAGAGAGAUAAAAGCCUCCUAAAGGCUUAAGAUCUUACUGCAGAGGAGCGAUAAGCCACAGAGAGCUGCUAUCAGAUAGGGGCCGGGUGCUGUCAACAAUAGGAGUGUCUGCCUUCUAGCCACGGACAGCUGCUGGGGGUGGGCGGGUGGGGGGAGGGAGUCAGUCACUUGCAGUGCUGAGGAGACACCAGGAAGAGGCAAACCAAUUAGACUCCCUAAUCACCUGUGUAGGACACGGAGUCAGGAGGCUGAGAAACUGCAGGAAUAAACAGGACUGAGAGGACAGGCCUCACCGUGAAACAGCUGCCCUGGGCCCGGGACUCGCCAGGAGGAGCGCAAACCGGAGGGCUGUCAAGGCAGGGGCUCCCUGGAGCUACUCUGCUGUCCUGACUCUAACCACCAUGGUCCUCGAAGAGCCUCCUCCAAUCUCCAACUCAGACCACUCCAUGGAGUGAGCCUUCUUCAUGCCACUUAAGCUCCGUCUUUCAUGCUCACAUGGGCCCCAGGUUCCCAAAGCUAAUCUGCAAGGGAUUGUCUGAGCCACAGGGCCCAGAGCCCACCUCAUCCAUUCUGCAGUCAGCAGCCGGCACCCACAGCGUCCACGCGCAAUCACCCGCACCUGCCUCAUGAGUCAAUGGGCCCAAAUUGCGGGGCGCGGCAGACGCCCCACCGAGAACAAGGAACACAAAGGGCUCUGCGCUUCAAGCUGUGGGUGGGAAUUACAAAAGGUUAAGAGACUAAAUAUAAAAAGCCCUUUGAAUAUAAAAUCAAUGUGCUUUGUUGCUAAAAUCUGGGUGCUGUAAUUUAUCCAAAAUAGGACUUGCAAUAUCUGGCAAUAAUCCAUGCCUAGGAAUUGUCGGUUCUGCUCAUCGAAAUGCAAAUAGUCUACUGGAAACUUAAAAACAAUUAAAACAACUGAAAUAUUUCAUACCAACA
rnacentral:sRNA from 1 species